CCACCCAUGCUGAAUGCGGUGAUCCUCCACUUCCAGACCAUCUUGUGGCAUUUCAUGAGCACUCAGUAUCCUGGGUGUGAAUGUGCACCUACCGCACUGGGCAAGAGGAAAUAGAAACCGACUAGACUAUCUUAUCUUCAUUGGGGAGCUAUCAGAGACUCACAGUGUUCAAGCUACAGACCUGGGCUUGAGAAAUAAGCAAGAAUAAGUGAAAUACAGAAGUUUGGCUGCAGAGACCGGAGAAAAGGCCAUGCCAUAGAUCGGAUCUGUUCUGUGUGCAGCCACUACUGCAGGGAUGGAUUUGACCUCCAAACGUUCUCACCACGGUGGAGGGAAUUCCCAUUCAUAGGGACACCUUAAAUUAGGGGAUCUCUAUCUUCUAUUCUUCCCAGGUCUUCUACUUUCUUAAUUAACAUAAUUAAAGUCUUCUUGGAGGCAGGGGGAAUGGAUGAAUUUAGGCCCCACCCACAAUCCUGAAGAGUAAAUCCUUCUCAGCUGUGAACUAUGAAAACUCAGCAAGCAAAUCCAUGUGCUUGGGAGCCAUCCUUCCAACUCUCAGAGUAGUCAGAGCAAACACCACAGGAAGCUGUCUGAGUACACAACAAGGUGAUGCCUAAUAAACAAUUUCCAGCAUUUUGUGGCUGAUAAUAAUUGCUCACUUAAGCGUCCCUAAGCUUUAAUUUGGUUGGUCUGUAAUCAAUGGCUGUUUCGCCCUGAGGUAGGGAAAGGCUGAGUGACAGAAAAAUAGCAAGCUCCUGUGUGUUGCCAAUCCUGGGAGCCGAAGGAAACGAGAAAAAGCUUUCCUGGUUUGCAAAUGGAUGGAGAUGGGAAGUGGAGGAAGGCUGGAUCUCGACUUUGCAGCUUUGGCAUUCCUGUGACAGCAUGAACACCUUGAAGGGACUCCACCCUGCCAGGACACAUCCACCAUCAGUUGGCAUUCAACAGAGUCCCUGAGUGAAAUCACUCUUUCCGAGUUAGGAUGGUGCCCUGGCUUGCCAAUUGUUGUACCUCUGGCCACAAUGCACCUGUGCAUGCCUUGGACUCACCUUAGGGUGUCAAUACUGCAAUGGCAGCCCCAGAACCCACUCAACCAGCUUAGCACCAAACCCAAAUUUAGUGUUCACUAAUGGGUUUUCAAGAUGGUCAGUGCCAUAUCUUCUCCCUUGGAAUAGCUUCAUGCUGACAGCACACCUAUUUUCCCUCCUUCUGGGCCCACGGAAGAGAACAGACUUCUCAAGGAGAUGCUUACGCGAGGGUGAGAGAGGUGGCUCCUGCCGGGUCACAAGGUCCUCAGCCGGUUCGCAGCAGGCAUCCUGCCACCAGUCCCUCUGUACCCAUGGCUGUGCACGGAGCUCAUCCGCUUGGCGUCCUUCCCCCCAGCAUGCUCUUGUUUUCAACAUAUCUCUUCCCAGCACAGCUUCCCUGCCAGCUACCGUCUAUUAACCAGAGUCUGCUCUUGAGAUGAAAUCUAUUUGCCGUGCCAGAGGUAAAUGGAUCCCAUGAAACGUUGAAGUGAGCCAUAAGACAGAGAAGACAUUUCAUUCCAGCGACUUCAUUACAUGGUAUCCGUGAACCCUGCU